UCUCAAAUAAACUUUUAAAAUAUUAAAAUUUAAAAAAAAGAUACAGAACAUUUUCUUUACCAGAAAAAAUUGAUCUUCCUUCACAAUCUCUCCACAUCCCUUAGGUAACCACCAAUCCACUUUCUGUUACUGGAGAUGAAUUUUGCUUGUUCUAGAAUUUCUUAUAGAUUGAAUCAGUAUGUACUCUUGUGUCUAGUUUUUUUAGCUUACAUGUUUUGAAAUUCAGGCUAUUGCAUAUGUCUGUAGUUUUUUCCUUUUCAUCUCUGUUCCAUUGCAGUAUAUUACAAUUUGUUUAUCUGUGUGUCUACUGAUGGAUUUCUGGUCUAUUUCUAGGUGAGGUUAUUAUGAAUAAAGCCGCUACAAACAAAUGUACAAGUCUUUGUAUGGAUCUAUGUUUCCCUUUCUUUCUGAGCGAUCUCUUCUGUGACCAGUGGUACGAUGGCCUUGUACUGGGUCAGCUUAGCCGAGCCAGAAUGGUGUUUCCCGAAAUUACUCUCCUACAGGGUUGUGGGUUAGCACGGCUGCCCAAGUCGUUUUGUGUCAGAUUUAGAAGGUGGAAAUGGAGCGGCAACCAUGUUACUUUUCACGCUUGGAAAGAUGAGGCCGUCUAGGAAUCACUGUUGCCGAUUCAGUUAUGUUGUAACUUCGCAGUUGGCUCGCAAAUGCAAACGGCCCAACGCAGCAUCUGGGCCUGCGGCAGCCGUGACUCCGCUCUGCUCCCCUUGGGUUUCUCCCAGUUCUGGGCCUGAUGUGUGUUUAAACCUCUGCCGCCCUCCAUCUCAAAGGGGUGGUGAGGGGUUGACAAAGGCACCGGUCCACCGUCCUGAGUUGCACAGUCUCCCAAGUGCUAGUCCGUCCUCGUCGCCCCCUCGUGCCCACCUCACAUUUGCCUCUCCUUCCUGACUUCCUCCUCCACAGACUUCAGAUCCCAACACCAGACGGAAACGAUCACCUCCUAUGAACUGUAACCAGCCUUCACAGUUAGCUGUGGUCAAAUCCUCGCUUCUCUGAUGGAACACUGAUAAAGAACCUGCCACUGAAAGUGAUCCCAGGGGUCAGAAUCUUAAGAAUCAGACCUCUGUUGGGGCACCUGGGGGGCUCAGUCGGUUGAGCAUCCGACUUCAGUUCAGGUCAUGAUCUCACAGUUCAUGGGUUGGAGCCCUGGUUCAGGCUCUGUGCUGACAGCUCAGAGCCUCGAGCCUGUCUCAGAUUCUGUGUCUCCCUCUCUCUCUGCCCCUCCCCCGCUAACACUCUGUGUCUCUCUCUCUCUC